rnacentral:rRNA from 1 species
UAGGGAAUAUUAGAAAUGGACGAAAGUCUGAUCUAGCAACACCGCGUGUGCGAAGAAGGCCUUCGGGUUGUACGGCACUUUUUGAAAGGAUUAGGAAGGAAUGUACUUCCAGAAUAAGUCUCGGCUAACUACGUGCCAGCAGCCGCGGUAACACGUAGGAGGCAAACGUUAUCCGGAUUUACUGGGCGUAAAGCGCGUGUAGGUGGUUCUGUAAGUAGGGCGUGAAAGCUCCUGGCUCAACUGGGAGAGGCCGUUCUAAACUGCAGAGCUAGAGGAUGGUAGAGGGAGUUGGAAUUGUGGGUGUAGCGGUGGAAUGCGCAGAUAGCCGGAGGAACACCAGUGGCGAAAGCGGCAGCCUGGACCAUUCCUGACACUCAGACGCGAAAGCUAGGGUAGCAAACG